CGCCCUUGCUCAGUAACACGUGGAUAACCUGCCCUUGGGUCUGGGAUAACCCCGGGAAACUGGGGAUAAUACCGGAUAACGCAUAUAUGCUGGAAUGCUUUAUGCGUAAAAUGGAUUCGUCUGCCCAAGGAUGGGUCUGCGGCCUAUCAGGUAGUAGUGGGUGUAAUGUACCUACUAGCCUACAACGGGUACGGGUUGUGAGAGCAAGAGCCCGGAGAUGGAUUCUGAGACAUGAAUCCAGGCCCUACGGGGCGCAGCAGGCGCGAAAACUUUACAAUGCGGGAAACCGUGAUAAGGGGACACCGAGUGCCAGCAUCAUAUGCUGGCUGUCCAGAUGUGUAAAAUACAUCUGUUAGCAAGGGCCGGGCAAGACCGGUGCCAGCCGCCGCGGUAACACCGGCGGCCCGAGUGGUGAUCGUGAUUAUUGGGUCUAAAGGGUCCGUAGCCGGUUUGGUCAGUCCUCCGGGAAAUCUGAUGGCUCAACCAUUAGGCUUUCGGGGGAUACUGCCAGGCUUGGAACCGGGAGAGGUAAGAGGUACUACAGGGGUAGGAGUGAAAUCUUGUAAUCCCUGUGAGACCACCUGUGGCGAAGGCGUCUUACCAGAACGGGUUCGACGGUGAGGGACGAAAGCUGGGGGCACGAACCGGAUUAGAUACCCGGGUAGUCCCAGCCGUAAACGAUGCUCGCUAGGUGUCAGGCAUGGCGCGACCGUGUCUGGUGCCGCAGGGAAGCCGUGAAGCGAGCCACCUGGGAAGUACGGCCGCAAGGCUGAAACUUAAAGGAAUUGGCGGGGGAGCACAACAACGGGUGGAGCCUGCGGUUUAAUUGGACUCAACGCCGGACAACUCACCGGGGACGACAGCAAUAUGUAGGCCAGGCUGAAGACCUUGCCUGAAUCGCUGAGAGGAGGUGCAUGGCCGUCGCCAGUUCGUACUGUGAAGCAUCCUGUUAAGUCAGGCAACGAGCGAGACCCGUGCCCACUGUUACCAGCAUGUCCUCCGGGACGAUGGGUACCCUGUGGGGAC
rnacentral:rRNA from 1 species